GAUGAACGCUGGCGGCGUGCCUAAUACAUGCAAGUCGAGCGAACAGACGAGGAGCUUGCUCCUCUGACGUUAGCGGCGGACGGGUGAGUAACACGUGGAUAACCUACCUAUAAGACUGGGAUAACUUCGGGAAACCGGAGCUAAUACCGGAUAAUAUAUUGAACCGCAUGGUUCAAUAGUGAAAGACGGUGUUGCUGUAACUUAUAGAUGGAUCCGCGCCGCAUUAGCUAGUUGGGAAGGUAACGGCUUACCAAGGCAACGAUGCGUAGCCGACCUGAGAGGGUGAUCGGCCACACGGGAAGUGAGACACGGUCCAGACUCCUACGGGAGGCAGCAGUAGGGAAUCUUCCGCAAUGGGCGAAAGCCUGACGGAGCAACGCCGCGUGAGGGAUGAAGGUCUUCGGAUCGUAAAACUCUGUUAUUAGGGAAGAACAAAUGUGUAAGUAACUAUGCACGUCUUGACGGUACCUAAUCAGAAAGCCACGGCUAACUACGUG
rnacentral:rRNA from 1 species